ensembl:snoRNA LOC120102119 small nucleolar RNA U3
AAGACUAUGCUUUUAGGGUUCAUUUCUAUAGUUCGUUACGAGAGAAGUUUCUCUUACUGUGUAGAACACCCAGGGCUUCAUGAAGC